GACGAACGCUGGCGGCGUGCUUAACACAUGCAAGUCGAACGGAAAGGCCCUGCUUUUGUGGGGUGCUCGAGUGGCGAACGGGUGAGUAACACGUGAGUAACCUGCCCUUGACUUUGGGAUAACUUCAGGAAACUGGGGCUAAUACCGGAUAGGAGCUCCUGCUGCAUGGUGGGGGUUGGAAAGUUUCGGCGGUUGGGGAUGGACUCGCGGCUUAUCAGCUUGUUGGUGGGGUAGUGGCUUACCAAGGCUUUGACGGGUAGCCGGCCUGAGAGGGUGACCGGCCACAUUGGGACUGAGAUACGGCCCAGACUCCUACGGGAGGCAGCAGUGGGGAAUAUUGCACAAUGGGCGGAAGCCUGAUGCAGCAACGCCGCGUGCGGGAUGACGGCCUUCGGGUUGUAAACCGUUUUCGCCUGUGACGAAGCGUGAGUGACGGUAAUGGGUAAAGAAGCACCGGCUAACUAUGUG
rnacentral:rRNA from 1 species